GACGUAGGGCGCGAGCGUUGUCCGGAUUUAUUGGGCGUAAAGAGCUCGUAGGCGGCUGUUCAAGUCGAACGUGAAAACUCGGAGCUCAACUCCGAGCCUGCGUUCGAUACUGGAUGGCUAGAGUCUGGUAGGGGGAUCUGGAAUUCCUGGUGUAGCGGUGGAAUGCGCAGAUAUCAGGAGGAACACCGGUGGCGAAGGCGGCGUUCUGGACUGUAACUGACACUGAGGAACGAAAGCCAGGGUAGCAAACGGG
rnacentral:rRNA from 1 species